UACGUAGGGGGCGAGCGUUGUCCGGAGUUACUGGGCGUAAAGAGCUUGUAGGCGGUUUGUCGCGUCUGCUGUGAAAUUUCGGGGCUCAACCCCGAACUUGCAGUGGGUACGGGCAGACUAGAGUGUGGUAGGGGAGACUGGAAUUCCUGGUGUAGCGGUGAAAUGCGCAGAUAUCAGGAGGAACACCGAUGGCGAAGGCAGGUCUCUGGGCCAUAACUGACGCUGAGAAGCGAAAGCAUGGGGAGCGAACAGG
rnacentral:rRNA from 1 species